UGCUACAGGCUUAACACAUGCAAGUCGAGGGGCAGCAUGGUCUUAGCUUGCUAAGGCCGAUGGCGACCGGCGCACGGGUGAGUAACACGUAUCCAACCUGCCGUCUACUCUUGGACAGCCUUCUGAAAGGAAGAUUAAUACAAGAUGGCAUCAUGAGUCCGCAUGUUCACAUGAUUAAAGGUAUUCCGGUAGACGAUGGGGAUGCGUUCCAUUAGAUAGUAGGCGGGGUAACGGCCCACCUAGUCUUCGAUGGAUAGGGGUUCUGAGAGGAAGGUCCCCCACAUUGGAACUGAGACACGGUCCAAACUCCUACGGGAGGCAGCAGUGAGGAAUAUUGGUCAAUGGGCGAGAGCCUGAACCAGCCAAGUAGCGUGAAGGAUGACUGCCUUAUGGGUUGUAAACUUCUUUUAUAAAGGAAUAAAGUCGGGUAUGGAUACCCGUUUGCAUGUACUUUAUGAAUAAGGAUCGGCUAACUCCGUGCCAGCAGCCGCGGUAAUACGGAGGAUUCGAGCGUUAUCCGGAUUUAUUGGGUUUAAAGGGAGCGUAGAUGGAUGUUUAAGUCAGUUGUGAAAGUUUGCGGCUCAACCGUAAAAUUGCAGUUGAUACUGGAUAUCUUGAGUGCAGUUGAGGCAGGCGGAAUUCGUGGUGUAGCGGUGAAAUGCUUAGAUAUCACGAAGAACUCCGAUUGCGAAGGCAGCCUGCUAAGCUGCAACUGACAUUGAGGCUCGAAAGUGUGGGUAUCAAACAGGAUUAGAUACCCUGGUAGUCCACACGGUAAACGAUGAAUACUCGCUGUUUGCGAUAUACGGCAAGCGGCCAAGCGAAAGCGUUAAGUAUUCCACCUGGGGAGUACGCCGGCAACGGUGAAACUCAAAGGAAUUGACGGGGGCCCGCACAAGCGGAGGAACAUGUGGUUUAAUUCGAUGAUACGCGAGGAACCUUACCCGGGCUUAAAUUGCAGAUGAAUUACGGUGAAAGCCGUAAGCCGCAAGGCAUCUGUGAAGGUGCUGCAUGGUUGUCGUCAGCUCGUGCCGUGAGGUGUCGGCUUAAGUGCCAUAACGAGCGCAACCCUUGUUGUCAGUUACUAACAGGUUCUGCUGAGGACUCUGACAAGACUGCCAUCGUAAGAUGUGAGGAAGGUGGGGAUGACGUCAAAUCAGCACGGCCCUUACGUCCGGGGCUACACACGUGUUACAAUGGGGGGUACAGAGGGCCGCUACCACGCGAGUGGAUGCCAAUCCCAAAAACCUCUCUCAGUUCGGACUGGAGUCUGCAACCCGACUCCACGAAGCUGGAUUCGCUAGUAAUCGCGCAUCAGCCACGGCGCGGUGAAUACGUUCCCGGGCCUUGUACACACCGCCCGUCAAGCCAUGGGAGCCGGGGGUACCUGAAGUGCGUAACCGCGAGGAGCGCCCUAGGGUAAAACUGGUGACUG
rnacentral:rRNA from 1 species